rnacentral:rRNA from 1 species
AGCGAACGCUGGCGGCAGGCCUAAAACAUGCAAGUCGAACGCCGUAGCAAUACGGAGUGGCAGACGGGUGAGUAACACGUGGGAACAUACCCUUUGGUUCGGAACAACACAGGGAAACUUGUGCUAAUACCGGAUAAGCCCUUACGGGAAGAUUAUCGCCAAAGGAUUGGCCCGCGUCUGAUUAGCUAGUUGGUGGGGUAACGGGCCCGACCAAGGCUACGAUCAGUAGCUGGUCUGAGAGGAUGAUCAGCCACACUGGGACUGAGACACGGCCCAGACUCCUACGGGAGGCAGCAGUUAGGAAUCUUGGACAAUGGGCGCAAGCCUGAUCCAGCCAUGCCGCGUGAGUGAUGAAGGCCUUAGGGUUGUAAAGCUCUUUCAGCGGGGAAGAUAAUGACGGUACCCG